rnacentral:piRNA from 1 species
UAUGCCUGUAUCGUGAUGAGCACAUUCAC